CCUACGGGAGGCAGCAGUAAGGAAUAUUGGACAAUGGUCGCAAGACUGAUCCAGCCAUGCCGCGUGAAGGAUGAAGGCCCUAUGGGUUGUAAACUUCUUUUGUAUGGGAAAAAACCCUUCUACGUGUAGAAGGCUGAUUGUACCAUAAGAAUAAGGAUCGGCUAACUCCGUGCCAGCAGCCGCGGUAAUACGGAGGAUCCAAGCGUUAUCCGGAUUCAUUGGGUUUAAAGGGUGCGUAGGCGGAAUGAUAAGUCAGUGGUGAAAUCCUGCAGCUUAACUGCAGAACUGCCAUUGAUACUGUCAAUCUUGAGUACAUUUGAUGUGGGCGGAAUGUGUCAUGUAGCGGUGAAAUGCUUAGAUAUGACACAGAACACCGAUUGCGAAGGCAGCUCACAAAACUGUAACUGACGCUGAGGCACGAAAGCGUGGGUAUCAAACAGGAUUAGAUACCCUGUAGUCCACGCUGUAACUAUGAUUACUCGAUGUUUGCGAUACACUGUAAGNGUCUAAGCGAAAGCGAUAAGUUAAUUCACCUUGGGGAGUUAGCGCGCGAGAGAGAAGUUAAAGUUAGAGUUAGAGGACGNGGAGAGNGCGACGGACGACGACGAGGGAGGAAGG
rnacentral:rRNA from 1 species